rnacentral:rRNA from 1 species
UACAGAGGGGGCAAGCGUUGUUCGGAAUUACUGGGCGUAAGGCGCGUAGGCGGCCUGUUAAGUCGAACGUGAAAUCCCUGGCUCAACCCAGGAACUGCGUCCGAUACUGGCAGGCUUGAAUUCGGGAGAGGAUGUGGAAUUCCAGGUGUAGCGGUGAAUGCGCAGAUAUCUGGAGGAAUACCGGUGGCGAAGGCGGCAUCCUGGACCGGCAUUGACGCUGAGGCGCGAAGCUA